CAAAUUAAAGCUUAUAAGCAUUUUAGUUACAUUAAAAAGUUAAUUGUAAAUUCAAUUUAAUUUGA
rnacentral:tRNA from 1 species